CUUGGGUAGGAGCUGGGAUACUCCCCUAGGGACCCCAGCCAGGCACUGUCCUCGGAGAGGAGCUGGGACACCCCUUCAGGGACCCCAACCUGGCACUGCCCUCGGAGGCGUGAGGAUCUAUGAAGAUGGUGCGGCGCUCAAAUACCACGGUCCACAGAUGGAUAGCCUGUUCUAGAGAUCUGUCGAUUACUUUCCACUGUGUUCAGAGAGGCCCUUGUCUCUUCAUUCAGGCACAGCUCUAGAAGUAUGCGACCAUGGUGAGUGACCUCAAUACGUGGGCAAAGACAUUCCCCCGAGGCAUGUGUCUGGGCUGCAGCUCAACAGCCAUGCUGCCAAACUGCUGGAUGCUGCAGGUGACUAACAAGGACGAGGCGCCAAAGUCACUUGUGCGGAUUUAUUUGUUACUGCUACUAAUAAAGAUUGUCUACCUCAGCUAAACUGGAGUCUGGAGACAAUUAGCUUGUUCUGUGAAACAAGACCCCUUGCGCUACGGCGGCCGUGUUAAACAAUUACCAUCCCUUUAAACAGGGCAUAGGAGGAGGAAGGUGGUAGCAGGCUCCCCUUCACCCCUGCUCAAGCAAGCGACUCUAUUAUCCCCUCCUCGCAGUGAACUCUUGCAGCUUGCGCUUCAGGAAGCAGCAAUGGGAGCAGACGGAUAUUUUUCCUACCCUUUGCACUUGUUAGAUGAAAAUCAUCUCCCCGGUAGAAUCGACUAUAGAGGAAGCCGCUGGCCUGCUGGAUGGCUCUACAGAAACGGGUGUGUAAAACACGCUCUGGAUAAUGAUGUGUGCGCUCAUAAUAAUGAUUUUAAUACCUGUUAGAACUGACAGCUGUACACGUUCUCUGCUCUGUCGACAGAUGUUCUUCUGCCUGGCGAGAUCCACAACGGUUCUGGGAGUGGAUUACACUUUUGGAGAUGUGCUGGUGUGCAGCACCUGUGAAGAUCCUCCAACAUGGUUCCAUGUUGUGUUCACUUGUGGCUACCCCUGGGCCAGCCUCAGGAGGUUCGUAUGAACAGCCGGAGCAAAAGCAAAACACGUGGAUAACCCCUGAAGCAUUUGGGGAUGAAGGAGUGAUGCUACAGACAGUAGCCACCCCACCUGGAUGUUGAUCUUCCUGCUUCUGGACAGCCUUCUCUUGAAGUAAGCAAACGGCAGUAUUUCCCAAGCUCUGCCACUUGUGACGUAAAACUGAGAUGCUGCUCAUAGUAGACUGUUGAGGCAAACAUCACUGCUUGGUUUACAUACAGAAGCAUGGGGUUCAGGGUACAUGGUGGCAGCGAACAGGGAAACGUGUAAUGAGGGCUCACUGGGUUUCAACAGACUUCAAACAUGGUGCUCAAAUCAUCUAUUCCUGAAAUUUUAUACAGAUAAACCUGUAACCAAAAUUAAAGAUGGCCCUACUGUCAACCUAGCAUCUUUGCUUUUCAGUUGAAUCACUUUCUCCCACUCUUUCUGGCUUUGAAUAUUUAUUUUAUAAGGUUUUCAGGGCAUUCAACAUGGGCCAGAUUCUAUUCCAUGUAUUCGGUGUGCCACUUGACUUAAGCACCUGUGCCAUUUUAUUUCUAUCCUGCUCACGUCCUUAAAAAAACCGUUAAUGCAAAAGAUGGCUGGGGUUCUUCUUGUCUUUUGUGGCACAAUCUUAUGGGCCACAGUUGAUGAAUGGAUGGAUUUAAAGGCACGUGAGCAGGAUGGAGUAGAAUCACAAGUAGGUGUGUAAGUCCACUUAUGGGAAGAAUAGAAUCUGGCCCUAUGUCUUCCUAAAGGGCAGCUUACAAUACAUUUGUUCAUAUUAAAUAUUCCUAUAAGAUGUAAUCUUGACAGAGAGGCUCUUAUGGAAAAAAGGGAUAUUUCAAAGGCUAGAGUAUACUGACAUGUGGCAAAUGCUAGGACAUAGGAUGAUCAUAGACUACUGAAUCAGUAAGUCCAGGUUGUAGUGUUGUUUUUAUCCAAGUGGGAAAGUAGGGGCAUUCCUCUGGCAUCUGGAAUCGCCAAGGAGAGAAUUAAUGCCAACAUCCGAUGCUGGUUGUGCAGAUGCUUAGCCCUUUGAAGCUUCUCUCGAGGGAUGGGGACAGCAUAAAUUGGCUUCACCUUGUUCAGGAAGCCUGGUAAGACCAAGAUCCUGUGACUUUAUUAUGUGAAAGCACUGAUCUGAGGGACACAGGCUUAUUGUAGGACAAAGAAGUGACAGAAUUGUGUACUUUACCCCCUGAUUUUAUGAAGAAUAAUGGAGGUGGGUAACAGCAGAUAAGAUGGGUAUGCAUGUAAACUGUUUACUGCUCAUUAAAA